UUUCAUCGCCGCGGUCAUCUGGUUCAUCGGUACUACCAAAAAGUCUCAUGAUGUGUCUCAGGUAAAAAAAAGGUUAUUAACAAAAUGGAGAUAAAGAUUAGAAGAAGGUGGUGUCAAUCGUAUCUGUUAUAUAAUCUAUUCAAAUUAAUGUGAAAGGUGGAUCCCUCAAAUUAAUGCAGUUAGAUCGAUGGUAAAAUUUGUUAUGUCACAUCUUUGUUUCCUCAUCUGCGCGAUUCUUCUCUUUAGUUUGGAUUUUGCUUUUCGUCUAUCUAGAAAUGCGGUAUAGGCAAAGCAGCCUGCGGCCGAUAAUAUUAACAUUUAUUUUCGGCUACUUUUCAGCAAAAGUCCAGCGGUUUAAUGACGUAAGUUCUAUUGUUCAAACCUCCAAAAUUCAGGGACAGCUAUGCUAUAGAUUUGUUAGUUCCUCAUAUUUGUUGUCUCGUGGUUUACUGCAAAGAAUGAAAGCAUUUUUUUUUGCUAAUGUACUGUGCGACAAAACUUAUUGCACGCAAACAUGU